UAGGAUAAUAGUUAAUAAUAACAUUUAAUUUGCAUUUAAAAAUAAUUGAUAAAAUCAAUUUAUCUUAA
rnacentral:tRNA from 1 species